rnacentral:rRNA from 1 species
AGAUUGAACGCUGGCGGCAUGCUUUACACAUGCAAGUCGAACGGUAACAGGCCGCAAGGUGCUGACGAGUGGCGAACGGGUGAGUAAUGCAUCGGAACGUGCCCAGUCGUGGGGGAUAACGCAGCGAAAGCUGUGCUAAUACCGCAUACGAUCUAUGGAUGAAAGCGGGGGACCGAAAGGCCUCGCGCGAUUGGAGCGGCCGAUGUCAGAUUAGCUAGUUGGUGGGGUAAAGGCCCACCAAGGCGACGAUCUGUAGCUGGUCUGAGAGGACGACCAGCCACACUGGAACUGAGACACGGUCCAGACUCCUACGGGAGGCAGCAGUGGGGAAUUUUGGACAAUGGGCGCAAGCCUGAUCCAGCAAUGCCGCGUGCAGGAAGAAGGCCUGGUUGUAACUGCUUUGUACGAACGAAACGGUCGUAGGUUAAGUACCUCGGUCGUAAUGACGGUACCGUAAGAAUAAGACAACCGGACCGUAACUAACGUGCCAGCAGCCGUA